CUAAUUCAAAGUAUCCCAACACAAGCAAGGAAUCAAUCUUGUUAUCAAGAUUAAGUGAGGAAAGAUGGAGAUGAAGAAAGUGAUGAUCAUGAUGGUGAUGAUGAUAGUGAUGAUGAUGAGCGUGUGUGUGGAGGGUGAUCCAACAUGCAGUCCAGCUGGAAGGUUCUUCUGCAACUCAGGGAGGUGCUGCAGUAAGUACAACUGGUGUGGGAGCACUGCAGACUACUGUGCAAAGAACAACUGUAUUGCUCAGUGCUGGCCUGGUGUCAAAUCCCUCAACUACACAACAUCUCUUCUCACAAUAACUAACCACACCACACCUCUCCACAAUAAUCCCUAGAGAAAGUGUUACAAAUAACAGGAACAGUAAUUUCUGUGUAUGGUUUCGCUGAAUCAACAAAAGGUGUUUAGUUUAAAAGUAACGUUAUCAUGAAUAAUCCCCAAGGGUGACGAAUGAAGCAUGCUACCUAUUCGAGUAUUUAGAGAUAGAGAAUAGUAUUAUACUUUUUUAUGCA